GUUUGUUUGUAAGUUAAAAAUAUUCGAAAUUUUAAAUCAAUUUGUAGAUAUUAACGCAAUAAAUUAGAAAAGUGUUGUUAAAUUAACUAUUUACAUGGAAGAGAAAGUCAACUUAAAAGAGGCAACAACAGCGCAAAUAUUCUAUCAUGAAAGCUAAUUACCAAAGGGCCGUUCGUUCUACGCAGGCCAGCGCUACUCGCCGGCGUGCUCCAACUGUGGAAAAUAUUAUUUCGUGCAAAGUUAUUUUUGCUACAACCAUAUAAGCUCUCGCAAAAAUAUGUAUGUGUGUGUGCGUGUGCAUGCCAGCUUGUAAAAAAAUAUGCCAAAACAUAAGAAAUCUUAUCAAGCAACUCAAGUGCAAAAAUGUAAUAUUUCCAACGAUAGCAUGCCGCACACCCACACACACGCACACACAAAUAUAGCAUGUUGAAUACAAAUACGUAGUAACCUGGCCACGUCCUUCAACUCAUUUUUUUUCUUCGUCAACUUUUUUCACACUACAAAUUCACACAUACACGUACACACAAACACAUUAUCACUUUAGGUUUCUCUCCUGUGGUACUAAAUUCUUCCAUCUCAGUUACUUCACCUUGGCUGCCAAGCCAACCGAAUAUUUUCUAUUAAAAAAAUAGAAGCAAAAACAAAGCCAAAUCUGAGUAAAAGAAGCUGCAGGAAUCUCCAGUCAACAUGUGUCAAAGCAAGCAAGCGCUCAUACAUACAUGCAUACAUAUGUAUAUAUCACGUUGCGGUAGUUAAAACGUCUGGACCUGUCACAAAUUGUGUCACACAAAUAAAUAUUUAUUGGUAUAUACAUAAAAAUAUACGUAUGAGAGAGAUAAA